rnacentral:rRNA from 1 species
GGGCCCGCACAAGCGGUGGAGCAUGUGGUUUAAUUCGAUGAUACGCGAGGAACCUUACCAGGGCUUAAAUGUAAGUUGCAUUAGUUAGAGAUAGCUAUUUCUUCGGACCACUUACAAGGUGCUGCAUGGUUGUCGUCAGCUCGUGCCGUGAGGUGUCAGGUUAAGUCCUAUAACGAGCGCAACCCCUGUUGUUAGUUGCCAGCGAGUCAUGUCGGGAACUCUAACAAGACUGCCGGUGCAAACCGUGAGGAAGGUGGGGAUGACGUCAAAUCAUCACGGCCCUUACGUCCUGGCUACACACGUGCUACAAUGGCAGUGACAAUGGGUUAAUCCCAAAAAGCUGUCUCAG